GGGUACCAAAGUCCAAUUUGAAAGGCUAAUCAUAUGAUGGAGCAAUAUAUUUUUAUUCCCAAGACUGUUCCAGAUUAGGAACCGGUUUAAAUAUUUACAAGACGUUACCUUACUAUUUGUACUAACCUCAUUUUUGCUUGAUUCCUCCCAUGUGAAUGUGUUUCUGUGCCCCGAUCAGGGAGGAACACGAUAAAAUAGUGUUGUGAUUCAUUAUUCUGUGACAUGUACAGGAAUCUUGAUGCCUCUUUGUGAUGCAACAAGCCAGGAUAGUACAGGCCUAGUAGUAGUAGUGGUGGUGUAAUAGAAUCCUUCCUUUUUAUAUAGGAGUAUUAACUUUCAAAAUUUUAGUUUCCUUCUAGUAUUUUGACAGUGUUUUCAGGGGGAAAGAAUGGCAUGGGUAAAUCGCACAUGAAGGUUAGUACUUUACAGGCUACAGUUUAGUUUGAAGAUGCUGCCAUUCUGGUUUAAUCUAGCAUGGAAGCCUGGUCUUUUACGGGUUUACCUUUAAUCUGGUGUUCCUUCUGAGCUAGUUAGUCUGUUUUCUUGUGACAGGACAUCAUGCGGUUGUUUAAAGCUGCACUUGUUUGCGGCUGAGUUGCUUUGGCUCGAUUGGAUGAAGAGUAUAAGAUACUGGUUGGAGAGUGACAUCAAUGAUAAAGUGCAAGGCACCAAGAAUGGUCAUCUGUGAGGAGGCCUUGACAUCAUCCAGAAAAUAGAACAAAUGGAGUGGCCACUUUUCCCUGCUCGCUUUCCCUUUUCUUUUAUAUUGGUUGGGUCACUGCCACAGAGCCCAUUGCGAGUACAUAGAGUAUUUGCUACUUGCUCAUUGUUUGACCAAAAGCUUGUGUGUUCGUGUUCUGUAGUGGCAAACCCAAUAUGCCAUCGGCACCCCUCUCCACCAGCCGGGGGAGGCCUUGUUA
rnacentral:lncRNA from 7 species